rnacentral:other from 22 species
AAGUCACUGGAUCUUUGGUUAAGUUCUUCUUUAUGUGCUCUGAUCUGACUUUCUUUCGACGUGAGGAGACUGUCGUGAUGCGGUAGUAAACCGAUCUUGUAAUCGGAAACGAAAGCCCACUUUGAAUCCUCUUCUGGCUUUUCCAGGUCGAUGCAGCAGAGAACUGACGGGGAUCCGGUAAACCU